CACAGCUUCACGCUUCCAGUGCUUGCUUCUUCUAGAGCCCGGUGGAUGGAUGUUGAAUGGGAUGACCUGGACGUGCCUCGUACCGAAGAGGAGAAAAGCCACCUGAAAGAGAGUACUCAUGAUUUAUCCAGCUGUAGUUGGAAGAGUUUCUGUCCUCUGAGGGGCUCGUGCUGUUGCUGCCCAAUCACCAUUUGCAAGCAAGAGGGGAACUGCUGAAGUGAAAGCUUACAAACACCCUACAGGCAGAAUUUCAUUCAAAACUGGGACAGGAGCUGCUCAGCGCACCUGGACAUACCUGCUGCCUGUAUUGCACUCUUCAGUUCAGAUACAUCAAGAAAUCCAGAAUGGUUUUUGUCUUCCCUCCUGAAGAGAUCCUGAAAAACAGCAGAAAGGCAGAUUUCAGGUCUCCAAAUGUAUUGCUACAUCUAAUUGGGUAGGAUUCUUUCCUUCCUUAAUAAAUUCACUGCAAGGAAGUCAACAGGUAGGAUAGGCUGACCACAACAAGACAGAACACUUCCAGAAGGCUCAGUCAAUAUAUUAUGGCAUAAAAAAAUUCCACUUUGGGGUGGGUUGAAGCCUUUUUGCUCACUUUCCAGGUUUAUGUGCACAGGUAACAAUAGGAAUACUCAUACUUCUACUGUCAAAAAACACAAUGUCUGUAAUACAUUAAAUCUGCUGGAGUCCCUAUGCCCCAGAAUGCCAUCCUUCCCAACAAACCUGAGGUGCUGUCAAUGGGAAACACAUUGCUACCCAGCAGGGAACUGGCACCCCACUGUCCUAAGUGGCCACAGACUGCCUUGAGAGGGACAAAACAAAGCACAGCCUGUCCAUCUCAGAGGCUUCAAGGAAUCUUCCCCUUCUGCAGUAAGACUGGAGGAAGAAGGACCUGACUCAGGGGAGCUGCCUGAACUCAGGGCAGGGUGUCAGGGAAGAGAGAACAACCCCAUAUACCAUGUACUUGGUGACACUUCGCCAGAGGCUCCCAAACUCCUGCAGCGUGAGUUGUCCAUUUGAAUUGAGCUGUGUGUUUAGUUAAGAAUCAAGCAGUUAAUGAGCUGAACCUGGCAAUGCCUUCAUUGCUGAUGAUGCUGCCUUCACGUAAAGGGAGCCUUAAGCUGCAGCCUUUUCUGUUUGUCCUUCUAAAUGCAAAGCAACAAGAUCUUUUCUGAUCCCAAUUAUUCUCAGAGUUAAAUUUGCCUUUUCUGGCAAUUUGUGCAGCUGCUCAUAUCUAUGCUUACAAACAACAAAAGGUUUCUAUUUUUGUGGUGUCUUUAACCACAAGGGUUCCUGUAGCAAUCUCUGCAGCUGACAUUGAACCUCUGAGCACAGCAACUACUGAGGAGGAGCAGAACCUCAUGCUCCAGCCCACAUGUGCUCUUGUGCAUGAGACACCAUGAGACCAGCUCUGGCUGGAUCCUUCUGGGAGAAGAGGCAGUGAAGGAGCAAAGAGCACAUAGAGCAGAUCCUGAUGCCUGUUCUCAGAAGCCAUGGAGAUGCUUCAAGCAAGAAAGCACUUCACUACAAGCUACAUGAGCCCACAAGUGAAACCUGACUGAAAAAAAGCUGUUAUUUUUGAAGGCCAGGAUAGGUAACACUGUACGUGGGCUGUAUGCAACCCAGAGAAUGAAAAAUCCACCUUGAAUCAAAGCAGAGCAGUGGUUUUGUCAGCUGCUUGCACAUGCCAUGCAUUCACAGUGCCCACUUAGCCUAGGGGUCGCUUUGGAAAGGGGGAAAAACCUCGUUUGCUUGCAAGAUGGAGAAAGCUGGGAAGAGAGGGAUUGCAUGGUGUUUUCAUUCAUUCUCUGUCAGUUUCUAAAGAUCUGAAAACGUCUCAAAGUUAUUCCAAGGCAUGGAAGGAAAGAGAUGGCGAGCUAGCAAUUGGGAGAAAACACACAAGGGAGGAUUUAUGUUUUCAUCAAGGAGCCGUCUUGUUCUACAAUGGCCAGCAAUGUAUUUCCGGUGUUGUUAACAAUAAAAUGACUGUGGAUCCAUCUAAAUAGGGAUGGCACAUUGGGAAGGAUAAAUGGCCUGCCAGUCUCAGACACGUGGCUGUGACUGGGCAGAGAUGGUGCUUUCCCUUACCGCAGCUCUGCUGGCAAGCAGUGACAGCUGACAUCAUGGGCUGCUGUGGCUGCACCAAGCUGUGCCUGGGGCCUGCAUCUAAUGGUGAAGCUUAGCAAAGCCCUGGGCCCCACAGAGUGGAAAAUGAGAGCAAAGGAAUUUGUUGCUUGUGGAAGGCAUGAACACAGAGGUUGACUCUCACCUUCCAGCAGAGAUGCUCCCAGAGCUAGGGCAUGCAUAGCAAAGUCCUGCAUAUUGGCUGUGGUAGCUAUUUACUGAGGAAUAUGGCUAAUAUUUACUUGCAGGUUCUCACACUGGGAUGCUCAUCUCAGCCAUAACUCAAGGCAAGGAUGAGCAACACUGGGGAAUUUUAUUGCUUUUGCUGAAAGGAUACAUCCAUCAGAGCUAAAAUGGCUCGACAUGAAUCAAAGCUGAACUCUCCUCCCAGGCUGGCCAUUUCAUCUGCAAGGAUUGACAAAACAAGACAGAAUCAGCAAGAGCAAGCCCUACAUGCAGAUCACCACUGCGGGACGCCAGUCUGAAGGCUUAUAUACCUUCACAACCCCAGAUCUAGCUCAAGGUUCUCAAACAGCAACAAGGGUUGAGGUCCACUGAAGGAGUCUGACCCAUCCUGAACACCCCUGUUACCUCUUUUCCCAUUUGGUGCUCGCAGGUAGCUGUUCUGCACCAUCUUGACCCACCUACCCCCUGAUGGAAGCAGGAGGCUCUUGGAAUAAGGACUGAGCUGUGUGUGAGACCAUCUCCUGCUGUUUUCGAGGUGGGCAGGUUAGGAAGGGUGAGAAGUUCUGAACAUCAGCUCGAGGCCUCUGCAGGAUUUAGGGCAUGGCAAGAGGAAAUUAGGGGCCAGUGAGGGCACAGCACCCUGGGAUACUUGCUGGAGCAGUCCAGCUGGGCACUGAGUUCCCUCUCAGACUGGUGGGCAUGGAGCAGGAAGGAGUACGCAUGGGAAAUGAAGGAGGAAUCAAGGGGUCAGGAUAGGACAGUGUAGGUCUAUGAAGCAUGGGCUGUCCCAGUACUGAACUGGGAGGGGAAAGUGUAAUUUAGCUGUAUGUGUGUGUGUAUAUUUAUAUAUACACACAUAUAUACACACAUAAUACAUAAAGAUAUUACUAAAUCUUCUAGACUAAGGGUAGGGAAGCACCAAAGGCAAAAACCUUACCUUGCAGGACCACGUCAUUAAGAAGUUGUUGCAACUGCAAAGCAUCAAUAGCUGAACCCUAAUGAAGAAUAAAGAGAGGUCUGUGAGAGCAAAGUUUACACCUGCCUCACUUUUGCCCCAAAUAUCUUUACUCAUGCACCACGACAACUAAGAAGGAUCUCUAUCAGAUGGAUGCAUGACCAUGCCUGCAUGGGAGCAUGCCAAAGCCCAACUGCUGGGCCAUUCUCUGUCCUUCCCUGGGAGGGUCUGCAGGGCAGCCACAGGCAACACUGCCAUGGAGUGUUUUCAGUGGUGAUGGGAGCACUUGCCCCUUUCAUCCACAUCCUCUUCACCAGCCCCUCAGCAGCUGCCUGCUUCCCUCUGAGCCACCCGACCUAUCAGCAAACCAGAACGUCUCCCUGCCUGAAACACCGCCAGGGCUUCAGCAGGGCAGCCCCUGUUCAUUUUCACCUCAGUGCAUUGACACAACUAUUAACUGCAAGAGAUCCAUUGUGCAAAAACUUUUGGCAGUGAUCUAUCUGUAUUUUUUGUUCUCCUAAGUCAAGCAGUUUUGUUAUAAUGGUUUAUUAAGCCAUUAAAGGCAUCUCCUGUGAAUGCACACAGUUUGGCUCAGAAAAAGCAGGAAUCAAUUACUCAAACACUCACUGAUGUCUGGUUUCCAGCUGCUGCAAAAGCAAAUGGAAAAUGAUGCUGAUGAGAGGAGGGAAUACCCAAAGCUUUCUAAUUGCUUUCUGUACAUAAAGAAACCAAAGCCAAAAAAAGUACACACUCAAGUCCAAAACCUCCAAUCCUCCUCUGAAAUAUGGGGAUGGAUAAUCUGUCCCAGCUAAAUUCCUGUUUUGAUGGGGGGUUUGUGCAGGUAAAUCAAUACCAUUUUCAGGGUGCCCCCUUAAAGAUGAAGCUACAUUUCCACAAGAACAUUUUUCUAAAUGGAUCAGUAUGACCCCUGGAGAUUGCUUUCUUUUUGCAACUCCAUGUGCCUUUUUUAUGUAUAUAUAUUAUUAUUUUUCAGCAAGAUGCUUCAGACACUGUACCUGCUUCGCAUACUUUAGGAAGAUCGCCUUAUAGGAGCUGUCCUGUAUCUGUCUUGGUACAUCCUGGAUCAAAGAAGAAAUGCGCACAUAAAUAAUUCAGUUACAAAACAAUUGGAAGCAGCACUCUGAAGAUCAAACAAUGCUUUGGAAAGGCCUAGAGAAUCAACAGUAGAAGUUCAGUUUUAACAUCCCUAAAGUAAAGUGGAUUCGGAAUAAGAAAGCUACUGCAGUGAAGGAAGAAGCAUAGUUUGGGUGUUAUCACUUAGCAGAGCUGGGAGGGAGCUUGAGGAAGACAACUAACAUCUUGGGGUGAAACUCAGCAAGUCAGUAUGUGAGAGUAUAAAUACCAGGCCAGAUCUUUAUUGAUGGCCUUCAGUUGAAACCACUGGCUCAGGGCAUGUGAAGAUGCACCAGGAAGGGUGUGAACCAAGAGGAUAGAACAGGCGUUGACUUUUCCCUUCUUUUACCCCAGUGCAGGCUUGACUGUACCUGAACAACUGCAGAUCUCUAUGGAGCCAAUAUGGAGAAAUAUCCUUAACUUAAAACGUUUCCAAAAAAGACUGAGCUUAAGCCCUAAUACUUUCAGUUUUAUUCAUACCAGUGAAGUCCAACUGCCUGAAUAAGAUCAGAAACUGUAGGUACCAUAAUUUGUCAAAGUCAAAACACUGGCUAAUGACAACAGCCGAGUAAACUGACAGCUUGUCAGUGGGAAGAGAUAAUAAGCCACCAUUUAUGCUACCUCUCUAAUGGGGCUUAAUUGCAGGCUGGCAAAUGAAUCACAAGGGAAGGACUCCAUUUCCCAUUCUCUUGGAGCACCUUUGGCUUCACAGACCCACACUGAGUUUACACUGCUAUAAAUAACAGCCUGCUGAGCAGCAGGGUUUUGUAAAUGACCAGUGACACAGCAGCAUGGACUGGACCAGGUCUGACAAUACGCACAGUUCACAGUAAGGAAGUCCAGCAAUAGAUCACAGAACCAUAGAAUCACCACUCUCACUGAGAAGACUUUUUUUUCCCUAAUGUCCAAUGGUAACUCGAUGGUAACGGGGCCGGACAGGCUGAAAUGUGGGUUGAACUUGAGGUGCACCCAGAUUAGAAGUGCAGUUUCCCUUAUGUCUGUGAAGAUAACUAGGUGAAAAAUCUGCAGAAAUCUGCUUUGUGCCUUACCUCAAUGAACUCCCAUUCUUUAUAGGACACAGGCACUAAAACAAGGCAUUCCCCUGGGGACAGCAUGUACAACUGUGCUCUCAGCUAUGAAGUCCUUCGACAAAUGGCUACACUGAGCUGUGGAGUUUAGAUCAGUUUCUCCCUCUUUCUUCCCCUGGAUGCACACCCAUUUUACAGACACUGCAAGAAUCAACUGUCUUUGAAAUGCUUCCCCCCCUGCUUAUCACCACCAGUAUCAGUAUGAGUUUUCAAGGACUCUUACCAUCAGCAGCAUUGGGUUGAGCUGAGUGUCUGAGUUCCUAGAAAAGAGUUGAGUCACAUCACUCUGGGAGAAAAUGGGCCUUUCCACAGCACUGUUCUGCAGACUGGAGGCAGGCAGCGACCAGUUUGUUAACCCAGCUUCCAGCCCAGCAUUCACGCCCCCUGGACUGCCCCAGCUCAGACAGUUCCGUUAUGCUGGUCCUGGACCUCCCUACACAACCAAAUAGCAUCCAGACCCAAAAAAGGUGACACUGAUUUGGGGUUCUUCAUUCCUUCUGAGGCUCAUUUAGUAGCAUUUAAUAUUUAACACUGGAGGUGUGCUUUUGGUAGAGAAAUCAGGCAAGCCAGUUAUCUAUGACAUCUCUAAACCUUGUCUGGCCUCACAAGGAGGUACCAGUCCUCAGACAGUGACCAUGGAGUGCCUCACCUUGCCUAGCUUAGUAAGGUAGGGGUCACAAGCUCUCCUGGAAACAGCUACAUCCAAGGGCUGAACCUUCUUGUGCAUGAAUCAUCACACUGAAAGCAAUCUAGCCUAUGGCACAGACUACUCAUGUUUGUUUUCCAUGACUAAGGAGUUGCCUUAUUUGGUUCUGACACAAUUUUACUAAAGGCCAAAACCUAGAAAACAAUCUCAUUAUUAAGAUAUGGACCUAUGACAUAAGAGCUGCAUUCAUCCACACGGUUAAACUUAUUGAAGGAAAGGGAUCACACAUCUGAUGCCUAAGGGUUAUUUAGUAAUGCUGAGCUCCGGGGUUUGUUCUUUAAAUAAAGCACACCCAGAUAUUUAUACGCAAAUGCAAUAGAAGCUGCCUUUGCAGGAACUGGGAUACCAUUUUUCCACCAUGCUUAUCCUUCAAGGCCCUCUUAUGGAGGGGAGCCCUAUUAGCCUGUGUAUUUGAUGACUAGUUGAAGGGAUCAAAGUCUUCCACUGCUUUUUGCUUCUUUGCCAACGAGCAGAAUGGGACCUGAUCCAUGUAGGGUCCAGCUGGCACAACAAACAAAACUGCAUAAUGGCUGCUAGGAAAAAGAAGCUUGCAGGCCUUCUAUUAGAGAUUUCUUUGCAAGCUGGCAGGGCAUAUUCCACAAUUAUUGCUCAUUCGUGCUGCUCUUUGUACCAAAGCUGGGAUCCUUGAUGGCUGCUGAUGAGCUAUUGCCCUGUUCUGCAAUGGCCACCUAUGCAUCUGGCAGUACACAAAUGAUCCCCCUUAACAAGGUACUCAACACUUAGCUGUGUAGUCCCAGCACAUUUAUAGAGUACAUUACAAGCAAAUUGCUACAUCAGUUAUCUUGACAUUAAAUUGUUAAAUCCUGGCAUACAGCAAAUCUGGGCCCUGUAUGUUGUACUUGUCAUUAUCUUACUCAUUGUAGUCUUGAUUCUUUAUGAAAAUUCGUAAGACAAACUCAAAUUCUCGGCCCUCUGUUGUAGCAGGAAUGACAGCAUAAGUUCCUGGGCUCAAACUAAAGCAGCUGCUCACGUCUCGCACAAGGGAGAAAUCUUGUUUCAGAACUCUGGAGUUCUCCUGGAAGAAAAACAUAACUGGUUAUCUCAGCUUCCAUGCCAGGAAUCAAAGUAUAUCAGUAAGUGUACCCAGAGCAGCCUUACAUUACCACUGCUCUUCAAGUCUACACUGCAUCUAAUAUGCCUUGACUUUCCCAGAGGCAUGGAAAGUUUGAACAGGAGACAGACUCUGUCCAAGCACAAAUCAGUAAUACAAAAAGUUGGAAGAAGUGGGGAAAAAAUAAGAAAAUAUAUUUACAUGGUUUUGAAGAGAAAUUCAAUUAACAUUAAGGACGCUCUUACUAAAACCUUCCUGAGAUCUCACAUAACCCAGGAAGCUCACUAAGCAUCUCGCUUUGAUGGCAAUGCUUCAAGGAUAACAACUCAAACCUUCCAGCAAGUGUCACAAGGAAACAGAGCAUUCUCAUCUUUCUUCUGUUAUUCCAGUAUGUUUGCUGAGAUGAAACUAAUAUAAUGUGCAACAACUAUUAUUACGAUGACAUGUAAAGAUAGCAUAAUAAAAAACCCUUACUAAACACA